rnacentral:tRNA from 1 species
AGCCCGGGGCACCGUUCCGGUGCUUGUUUAAAUUUGCACUUUAA